UGUCAAAAUUUGUCAGCUUCAGCUACAUCCCUAAUAUGUAGUUGAAAUUACAAUGAAGUAUCUGUGCAACUACAGCAGUACAGUUUCCUGAGAAUUAAUCUUUACAAAUAAGGAACCAGAGUCUGUGUGUGUGUGUGUGUGUGUGUGUGUGUGUCAUUCUUGUGAUUCUCAUGUCUCUUCCUGAAAGAAAACAGGAAGCAGGUUUCACUUGUUUUACAGAAGUUAAAGAAAUUUCAGAGCUGCUGUUCAAUACAACGGUACAGAGGAGGAAAUAGAAAUAUCUAGAAAUAUUGUUUGAGGUAUCUCAACUCGACUGUACUCUCUCAACUUGACUUUUGAAGUCGCUGGAGGAAGAUCUGAAGACGUUUCAGUGGCACUUAAAGAAACAUAAGUGAAUAUCAACAUCUGAAAUGGAGGAUGCAGAUUGAUUAAAAACAGUGGAUAAGCUGGUGGCGUGUGACCAGAAGAAGCUGUGACGAUCACAUUCAGCAUCCUGAAGAAGAUGGAACAGAACAAUCUGGCUGAGCAGCUGGAUAACAAACACAUGCAUGCUGACAAAUCUCCAGUCCAGAUAAUAAGCAGUGCUCAGCCUGGAGCCAAUGUGAAAGCUGAAACAGGUGCAAGUGUAAAUGCUCCUGUACUCGCUGGAAGCACCUUCACUGGACCAAUACACUUCAACUACAGCUCACAUGCUGCAGGAAACGGUACACUGUCAUCACUACAACAAGACUCACUACUAAUACUAGCAUUUGAGUAAAGACUGAUAAUGCUACUUCCUCAUAGUGAGUUAAUGGGACACAUGAUUUAGCACCAUUUUAUUGCUAUAGAAUACUAUCUCAAUUAUUAUUUAUCUGUAUCUUCCUUUUAUUUCUCUCAUUCUGUAUGCAUCUCAGAUAAACAUAUAUGCUCAGAGACAGCAGAGAAUAACAGAGAAAAACAAGGUAAACCUUUCAUGUAUGAAAAUUUAUUGUGCACCUGCUACAAUUAUAUUACUGAGUCCAUCUCCCCAUUUACAUAUCUGAUUUAACAGUAAUGAAUGUGAUGAAUUAUCAUUGCAUUGAUGCAUUUGGUGUUAUUAUUGAAUAACAUAAUAUAGGCUAUUUAAUGUGCAUAUUUUAUAUCACUUUUUAGAUAGACUGGAAUCUGUGCAGGAAUACAUAUUUAGUCUAUGAACGUGGAGGCAAAAGUGCAGCUACUCUGAUUUGAUUGCCAUUUUAGCAAUAGCAGGAGGAUCCUUGUUAUAGGGCCUCUGUCUACAUAUUUCAUUUAACAGUAAGCUCAGAAAAUUCAUGUAGGCAAAUGGCCAGCACACAUCUCAUAACUGUAAGAAAAUGAACAGUAAAAAAAAAAAGAAAAGAAAAGAAAAAAACCAUUGGAGAACAACUCUAAAACAAGCAACAAACAAACUAAAACUCUACUAAAUCAUUUGCAUUUUGGUGCAGAGUCUUUCACUGCAGCUUUAUUGUUGAUUUUGCAAGCACAGACAUCAUCAGUGCUAAACUGGACAGUCUUCUAACAUUGUGCUCUGGAGAAAUGUCUUGAUCAUUUUCAGUUUCGAGAAUGAACGACAGCAAUUGCAUGUCAAAGCAUUUAUAUUCUGGGCUCUUCUGCAGAGUUUGAUCUUUUAAUAUCAUUGUCUUAAUGAGUAAGCCAUGUUAAGCAUAAAAAUAUGCACUUCGAUAAUGGUGCUGUUGUCUUAGAAGUAAGCCUAUAGUGUUUAUGACAAGUGAAAUGUGAGAGAAAAUUUAUUUUCCCUGGUAGUUGUUUCAGAACAUCACUAAGCCACAUGCGCUUUUCCACUCCACUGCGCUACCUUUGCACUCGCAUCUCGUGUUUUUUCAGUGUCUCAAGCAUGACACUGAAGCAAUACUUUCGUUACAGUACUUGAAUACAUUUUUCUUUUCUUUUUUCUACUUUCUUUAAUAAUUAAAUUGUGGUUCUUUUACUUGAGUUGAAUACAAAUAAAGUAUUCAACUUCGCUACA
ensembl:lncRNA